UACGAAGGGGGCUAGCGUUGCUCGGAAUCACUGGGCGUAAAGCGCACGUAGGCGGAUCUUUAAGUCAGGGGUGAAAUCCUGGAGCUCAACUCCAGAACUGCCUUUGAUACUGAGGAUCUUGAGUCCGGGAGAGGUGAGUGGAACUGCGAGUGUAGAGGUGAAAUUCGUAGAUAUUCGCAAGAACACCAGUGGCGAAGGCGGCUCACUGGCCCGGUACUGACGCUGAGGUGCGAAAGCGUGGGGAGCAAACAGG
rnacentral:rRNA from 1 species